AAGAGAUGAAAUGAACAAAUUCUGCAGACUUUGCAAAGAGGAGGGGAUUAUGCCAGAUAGAUUGUUGCCUGACAAGGUCAAUACAGCAAGAUUCGAAAGGUUCCCUAAGUCUGACGGGAUCUGGCCCGAAAGAAGGUUGUCUUCCAUUCGUAACCUCUGCAAGUUUACAAGAUUACCAAUCUCUUUCGGGAUCUCACCCGAUAUCAGAUUUUGGACUACUUCCAGGUAUGUAAAAGUAGCGGAGAAAUUACCGAGGCAUACAGGAAGCGUCCCCCCAAAUCUAUUUGCACCGAUCAACAGCACUUCCAAGUAAGUGGCAUUUGUUAGUGAGCACAGGAAGCUCAAUUCAUCUGCAUCGGACCCUCCACUGCCGAGAUAAUUAACGUAUAAGAUGACCCACUGAAGGCUAUGGAGAUUCGCCAAGGAAGGGACUUUCCCAGAAAGCUCAUUGACUGCAAGAUCAAGACCUCUUAGAUUUGUGGCAUUGGAUAUCGACAAGGGAAUGGAUCCAGUGAACUGGUUAUCAUGAAUGCUCAAAACUCGAAGGUUUGGGAGAGUGAAUCCUAUAUCUUCAGGAAGAUUGCCGUGGAUCUGGUUUGUCAUUACGUGGAGAAUAGCCAGCGAAGACAAGUUGAAGACCGAAGGCGGAAUGGUACCCGAAAGCCUGUUGUCUCCCAGGCUGAGUCUUUCUAGUUUGGUCAG